CAAUAGCGUAUAUUAAAGUUGUUGCGGUAAAAAAGCUCGUAGUUGGAUUUCUGUUGAGAGCGACCGGUCCAUACCAUGUAUGCGUAUCUGGCUUGCUCUCGGCAUCCUCUCGAUAGACGUUACUGCGCUUGAUUGCGUGGCGCGGAUCUCGGGACUUUUACUUUGAGGAAAUUAGAGUGUUCACGGCAGGCUUUCGCCAGAAUACAUUAGCAUGGAAUAAUACUAUAGGAUCUUGGUUCUAUUUUGUUGGUUUCUAGAAUUGAGAUAAUGAUUAAUAGGGACAAUUGGGGGCAUUCGUAUCAACACGUCAGAGGUGGAAUUCUUGGAUUGUGUUGCGACGAACUACUGCGAAAGCAUUUGCCAAGGAUGUUUUCAUUGA
rnacentral:rRNA from 1 species